rnacentral:lncRNA from 1 species
GUUACUGUGCUGGGCAUGAGAAACGCACUGUGUCUGUGUCCUGAUUUCUUGCCUUGGAGCAUUGGAUCGUGCAGUUAAUCUGGAAAACAUUUCAGAUAUCCUCAUAUACGAAUGGGGAUGGUGUGGGAAGGACCUUGUUUUGUUUGGGUAUUAAUUUGAAAGUUUUGUUGUUUUAAAAUUUAAGUUCAAUCUACUCUGGUUAUAUGAAGGUGACUCUUGUUAGGGUAACCAAAGGCACUGCUUUGGGCCUGAAAAGAUUGAUCUACUUAUCUUCUGCAAGAGAUUUAUUGGGGGAAAAAAAAAACUAAAAGCAAGCGAGGAAAUGAUAAGGAAAUAAGCAAUGACUCGGCUUGAGAUGAAGCCCACAGGAAGCUCUGUAGGGACUGUAGGGCUCAUGUCACCUUUGAGCUUUUUGGAUGCCCCAGUGACAUGCAGGAGGUACGUGGCCUCUCAGGCAGUGGCUGGCUAGACAACUCCUGCGAGUGGAGGAUGGUACCCGAGAGAGGGGGCAGCUGGGAGCCUCCAGCAGCCCGUCUCCAGUGCAGCCAGGGGAAGGUGCAGCAGUGUCCACAGUGGGCCCCAAGGAAGCUGGGGAGAGAGACAGAGAAAAAGGUUUUCAGUACGAAGCUCUCUUUAAUAUCCGGCCAGGAUAGCAAGGGGACAGGAUGUUUCCUGGCUAAGCUCUCUCGAGUCCACCAUAAUUGGGUUUUAUGACAUUGUGUUGAGUGGCGGUUCCCACCGCGGCAGCCUUUUCCUAACAUGGUGGUGCACAGGCUCUCUGAUUUUAUUCCUGCUCACCUCUGCAGCCUCAUCUCCAUCCCGCGCUGGACUCGUAGAUCAUGUCCUGGCCACAUUAGACUUUUUGUCAUAUUCCACCCCCAACACCCUCCAUAGAGGAUGUUAAAACGUUAAGAAUAGUUCUUUAAGUCCUUUUUAUUGCUAUGUUCUCUGUCAAAAAUGUUCUCUCUCGUUGCUAACUCCUUUUCUUCUAUUAACAAUCUGCAGUCACUGCCUCCAAGAAGCCUCCUCUAACUCCUUUCUUGACUCCCCCACCCCCACCCCCAGGCUGGGUUA